rnacentral:lncRNA from 10 species
GCGUGGGAGGAUCUGAGGCCUGCGGUGGGCCUUGGUCCCUUCUCUCCCCGCCCCGAAGCCGCCUGCUCAACCUGAGGGCCACCGGCCUCUAUCCGUCGGUGCCGAUGCUCCUUGCUUCCCAGCCAGAGCGUCUCAUCUCUGGGCCCGGAGCCCCAGGCUCGUUCUCCUCAGCCCCUGCCGGCGGCGGCGCUCUUGCAGCCAUUCCUGUGAGGUCGUUUUUCGGAGCAGCCGGGCCGGCCGAGGAUCUCUUCCUGAACCAGUGACAGUGGUUCUCAAACAUUUUGGUCUGAGGACCCCUUUAUGGCCUUAAAAAUGAUCGAAGAGCUUUUAUUUAUGAAGGCAGAGUCUCACUCUGUUGCCCAAACUGGAAUGCAGUGGCAUGAUCUCAGCUCACUGCAACCUCCGCCUGUUGGGCUCAGAGAUCUUCCCGCCCCAGCCUCCCGAGGAGCUGGAACUACAGCCUUGUGCCACCACACCCAGCAAAUUUUUGUAUUUUAUUGCAGAGAUGGCAUUUCACCAUGUUGCCCAGGCUGGUCUUGAACUACUGGACUUAAGCAAUCCGCCCACCUGGGCCUCCCAAAGUGCUGAGAUUACAGGCAUGAGCCACCGCGCCUGGCUGACAAAUACUUUUUAAAAAUAUCCAAGUUUCUGGAUUUUAUUCACCUCUACAAAAAUGAUUUAAGUCCUGUAGAAACAUGUGCCCACAAAUGACACAGUAAUCUCCAGCAAUGUGUUCAACAGCACGUUGAGCAUAAUUGAGCAUAACAGACAUUUUUAAAUUUGUUGUCUCAAAUUCCAUUUAGAUUUGGCUAUUGAUGCAAAAUUAGGGAGGUCAUUUUUCACUAGAUUACUUUCAAUGCUGGAAUCCAUACUUAAAAAAAAAAAAAGAAGAAACUAGAUUUAGUAUAUCUUUCUUUGCCACUUCAGGCUUCCAAAGGAGAAAAAUUCAUGGAUAAGUCAUUAACUGUUACAAAUGCAUUAUGUCUUCAGUUGUGAUGGUUAUGAUAAAACAUGUUUAUUUUAUAUUUGUAAUUUAGUAAAAUUAGUUGAUUCAAGGAGCUCUAUCAUAAAUGGGAAGUAAUAAAAUGAUAAUAAUU